rnacentral:rRNA from 1 species
GAUGAACGCUGGCGGCGUGCUUAACACAUGCAAGUCGAACGGGAAAUAUUUCAUUGAGACUUCGGUGGAUUUGAUUUAUUUCUAGUGGCGGACGGGUGAGUAACGCGUGGGUAACCUGCCUUAUACAGGGGGAUAACAGUCAGAAAUGGCUGCUAAUACCGCAUAAGCGCACAGAGCUGCAUGGCUCAGUGUGAAAAACUCCGGUGGUAUAAGAUGGACCCGCGUUGGAUUAGCUAGUUGGUGGGGUAACGGCCCACCAAGGCGACGAUCCAUAGCCGGCCUGAGAGGGUGAACGGCCACAUUGGGACUGGGACACGGCCCAGACUCCUACGGGGAGCAGCAGUGGGGAAUAUUGCACAAUGGGGGAAACCCUGAUGCAGCGAUGCCGCGUGAAGGAAGAAGUAUCUCGGUAUGUAAACUUCUAUCAGCAGGGAAGAUAGUGACGGUACCUGACUAAGAAGCCCCGGCUAACUACGUG